rnacentral:rRNA from 1 species
GCCUACGGGAGGCAGCAGUGGGGAAUAUUGCACAAUGGACGCAAGCCUGAUGCAGCGACGCCGCGUGCGGGAUGGAGGCCUUCGGGUUGUAAACCGCUUUUGUUCAAGGGCAAGGCACGGUCUUUGGCCGUGUUGAGUGGAUUGUUCGAAUAAGCACCGGCUAACUACGUGCCAGCAGCCGCGGUAAUACGUAGGGUGCAAGCGUUAUCCGGAUUUAUUGGGCGUAAAGGGCUCGUAGGCGGUUCGUUGCGUCCGGUGGGAAAGUCCAUCCCUUUACGGUGGAACCGGGCCGGGUACGGGCGGGG